AGCGAGGUAUAGAGUUCCUACGUUCCUAUUCAGUCGUAGGAACUUAAUACCGUGCUCU
rnacentral:pre_miRNA from 2 species